UACGGAGGGUGCAAACGUUGUUCGGAAUUACUGGGCGUAAAGCGCGUGUAGGCGGCCCUGCAAGUCGGAUGUGAAAUCCCACGGCUCAACCGUGGAAGUGCAUUCGAAACUGCAGGGCUAGAGUCCUGGAGAGGAAGGUGGAAUGCUUGGUGUAGAGGUGAAAUUCGUAGAUAUCAAGCGGAACACCGGUGGCGAAGGCGGCCUUCUGGACAGUGACUGACGCUGAGACGCGAAAGCGUGGGGAGCAAGCAGG
rnacentral:rRNA from 1 species